rnacentral:tRNA from 1 species
GCAGAUAUGGUUCAGUGGUUAAGAGCCCUGGCUCUUCUUCCAGAGGACCUGGGUUCAAUUCCCAGCACCCACA